rnacentral:rRNA from 1 species
AUUGAACGCUGGCGGUAUGCUUAACACAUGCAAGUCGAACGGUAACAGGCCUUCGGGCGCUGACGAGUGGCGGACGGGUGAGUAACGCGUAGGAAUCUGCCUCAUAGUGGGGGGACAACGUGGGGAAACUCACGCUAAUACCGCAUACGCCCUACGGGGGGAAAGCGGGGGGAUCUUCGGACCUCGCGCUAUGAGAUGAGCCUGCGUUAGAUUAGCUAGUUGGUAGGGUAAAGGCCUACCAAGGCCACGAUCUAUAGCUGGUUUGAGAGGACGAUCAGCCACACUGGGACUGAGACACGGCCCAGACUCCUACGGGUGGCAG